ensembl:lncRNA
UCAAUUCUUUUCUUCAAGUCCUUCUUUCAAGAAGGGCCCAAAAUAUGUUUUCUUCUAAGACACAGCAAACGGGGAGCGCACAAUGCAGCUGUCUCUGAGCCUCUCUUCUCCUGUCUCAGGGAGAAAGGAAUUCACCAAGCCCUAGAGCCUGACUCACUCGCUGUGUGAGCAUGAAUUAACCAGGAAUGUUCGAGAAUUAUUCCUGAAUAAUUCAUGAACCUGAAUUAAUCAUGCAUUUUCAUGAAUUAUUCAUGAAUAACUCAUGGAAAUGCAAGGUUUAUUCAUGCUCCAAAAAACCCAAGGCUUUUUCUCUUCUCUUCUGCUCUCUCUCCCUUGGGGACGGCAGGUGGGAGCUCUCUGAGCCAGACAAAGGAGACCUGACAAGGAACUGUGGUGAAGGGACAAACCCAAGGCAAAGAAGUGUCCGGGCACCUUCUCUGCUGGAGCAGGCGGCUGGGAUCUGGAUAGACAGGAGACAUUUUGCAAGACUCAACACCUGGAGCAGUGCUAACCAGGUGGGCAGCCCCGAUGUCAGCCAAGCUCUAUGUCCUCAUCAGCUGGCCCGACGGCAGCCGGGUGAUCAACAUCGAGAACAUCAAGGAGCCCCGCAAGCCCUUCCACCUCUACGUGGUGGGUGAGCAGGUGCUGGCCCGCUGCCCAGGCUUCAGUGGGCUCUACUGGGGGAUGCUGGAAGGCAUAAGCGAGCACAAAGAUAUUUUAGAGAAGAAGCUGCUGGAAGAUAGACAGCUCCUGGAGAAGUUAAAAGAAGAACCGGCCGUCCACAGCAUGAUGCCACCCCAGCCGAAAAAAUCCAGGAAAACCUUCCCAAAAUGGACCCCGGGGAAUGCAUCCAGGAAAUGCCACGGCGACAGGCCUUACCCUGCCAAGCCGCUGCUGAGGGUGGCCGAGACCAGCCUGCCCCAUGACGCUGGCAGCUCCUCCAUCAUCAAGGAGAGACGUGCCCUGGGCAACGCGGCUGGAAGUCCUCGCUCGCUGGUGGGGCCCCCCCACCCAGCCAGCGCCUUCUCACCCCCAUCUACAUUCGUCACCAUGGCCAUGCCGGGGACUUCCCAGGGUGAAGAGGACAGGGCUGGUCCAGCGACUAGAGAUUAUGUUGCCCUGGCAAUGAAGAGGAAGUCAGAUGGCAUCUUGUCCCAAUGCCAGCAACACGGCUGUCUGAACAGCUGUGAAGAGCGAAAACUUGACGCUUUGCAAGAGACAGAUGAUUUCGAGAGAGUUCAGAAAAAUUUCAAUCCUGGUGAAACGGAAAGGGAAGAGAAAAUAGAGCAGCUGGAGAGGAUGGUGUUGGACCUCCAACAGGAUGUCCUCUCUCUGAAGAAGAAGGUGCAGAGGCUGGAAUCUCUGUCCUUCCAGGAGGAGCUCCACCGGCAGCCCUGCGAGGUGGUGGAGCUCUUCAACGGCUACACCAAGGAACAGCUCAAAGAGACCAUUCGGUUUGACCAGAAGAUCAGCACUGCCUGCAAGACACUGCUCUACAAGCUCUUCACAUCCGACUACAUCCAGAGCCACUCCAUCACGGGGCGGAGGGGCAAUACUUUCCGAGAGGCGAAGCCCAUGAUGGAUGAACGUUGCAUCAAAAUCAUUAGGGUGCUGUUGAAACAGAAGUUUGGAGAUCACCUCAGUGACACAGUGAUCACGGAGAAGAUACAAAACGUGCAGAAAGCUCUGAGGCAGAAGUUUAAGACAGAAUGUCUCUGA